CUGCCCUGUACCGGGGGACAACAGCCAGAAAUGGCUGCUAAUACCGCAUAAGCCUGCUGUGCCGCAUGGCACAGCAGGGAAAACCACGGUGGUACAGGAUGGGCCCGCGUCUGAUUAGUUAGUUGGCAGGGUAACGGCCUACCAAGACAACGAUCAGUAGCCGGCUUGAGAGAGUGGACGGCCACAUUGGGACUGAGACACGGCCCAGACUCCUGCGGGAGGCAGCAGUGGGGAAUAUUGCACAAUGGGGGGAACCCUGAUGCAGCAAUGCCGCGUGGGUGAAGAAGCACUCCGGUGCGUAAAGCCCCGUCAGCAGGGAAGAAAAUGACAGUACCUGGACAAGAAGCCCCGGCUAACUACGUGCCAGCAGCCGCGGUAAUACGUAGGGGGCAAGCGUUAUCCGGAUUUACUGGGUGUAAAGGGAGCGCAGGCGGCGUGGCAAGUCAGAUGUGAAAACCCGGGGCCCAACCCCGGGAGUGCAUUUGAAACUGCCAUGCUGGAGUGCCGGAGAGGUAAGCGGAAUUCCUAGUGUAGCGGUGAAAUGCGUAGAUAUUAGGAGGAACACCAGUGGCGGAGGCGGCUUACUGGACGGUAACUGACGCUGAGGCUCGAAAGCGUGGGGAGCAAACAGGAUUAGAUACCCUGGUAGUCCACGCCGUAAAC
rnacentral:rRNA from 1 species